GAUGAACGCUGGCGGCGUGCCUAAUACAUGCAAGUCGAGCGAACAGACGAGGAGCUUGCUCCUCUGACGUUAGCGGCGGACGGGUGAGUAACACGUGGAUAACCUACCUAUAAGACUGGGAUAACUUCGGGAAACCGGAGCUAAUACCGGAUAAUAUAUUGAACCGCAUGGUUCAAUAGUGAAAGACGGUUUUGCUGUCACUUAUAGAUGGAUCCGCGCCGCAUUAGCUAGUUGGUAAGGUAACGGCUUACCAAGGCGACGAUGCGUAGCCGACCUGAGAGGGUGAUCGGCGACACUGGAACGGAGACACGGUCCAGACUCCGACGGGAGGCAGCAGUAGGGAAUAUGCCGCAAGGGGCGAAAGACUGACGGAGCAACGCCGCGUGAGUGAUGAAGGUCUUCGGAUCGUAAAACUCUGUUAUUAGGGAAGAACAAAUGUGUAAGUAACUAUGCACGUCUUGACGGUACCUAAUCAGAAAGCCACGGCUAACUACGUG
rnacentral:rRNA from 1 species